rnacentral:tRNA from 1 species
GCGGGUAUAGCGUAAUGGUAGCGCGUCUGACUUUGAAUCAGGCUAUUGCGGGUUCGAUUCCCGCUACCCGUU